rnacentral:rRNA from 1 species
CAGUCGCCACGGUAAUACGUAGGGUGCGAGCGUUGCUCGGAAUGACUGGGCGUAAAGGGCGCGUAGGCGGCGAUCAAAGUCAGGCGUGAAAUUCCUGGGCUCAACCUGGGGGCUGCGCUUGAUACUUGGUUGCUUGAGUGGGGAAGAGGGUCGUGGAAUUCCCAGUGUAGCGGUGAAAUGCGUAGAUAUAUGGAGGAACACCGGUGGCGAAAGCGGCUCUCUGGCUUGUAACUGACGCUGAGGCUCGAAAGCGUGGGGAGCAAACAGGAUUAGAUACCCCCGUAGUCCCUGUCUCUUAUAC